rnacentral:rRNA from 1 species
UGCGAGUCAUGGGGCGCGCUCUGCGCGCACCGGCGGACGGCUCAGUAACACGUCGGUAACCUACCCUCGGGAGGGGGAUAACCCCGGGAAACUGGGGCUAAUCCCCCAUAGGCCUGAGGUACUGGAAGGUCCUCAGGCCGAAAGGGGCUUUCGCCCGCCCGAGGAUGGGCCGGCGGCCGAUUAGGUAGUUGGUGGGGUAACGGCCCACCAAGCCGAAGAUCGGUACGGGCCAUGAGAGUGGGAGCCCGGAGAUGGACACUGAGACACGGGUCCAGGCCCUACGGGGCGCAGCAGGCGCGAAACCUCCGCAAUGCGGGAAACCGCGACGGGGGGACCCCCAGUGCCGUGGCAUCGCCACGGCUUUUCCGGAGUGUAAAGAGCUCCGGGAAUAAGGGCUGGGCAAGGCCGGUGGCAGCCGCCGCGGUAAUACCGGCGGCCCGAGUGGUGGCUGCUAUUAUUGGGCCUAAAGCGUCCGUAGCCGGGCCCGUAAGUCCCUGGCGAAAUCCCACGGCUCAACCGUGGGGCUUGCUGGGGAUACUGCGGGCCUUGGGACCGGGAGAGGCCGGGGGUACUCCUGGGGUAGGGGUGAAAUCCUAUAAUCCCAGGAGGACCGCCAGUGGCGAAGGCGCCCGGCUGGAACGGGUCCGACGGUGAGGGACGAAGGCCAGGGGAGCGAACCGGAUUAGAUACCCGGGUAGUCCUGGCUGUAAAGGAUGCGGGCUAGGUGUCGGGCGAGCUUCGAGCUCGCCCGGUGCCGAAGGGAAGCCGUUAAGCCCGCCGCCUGGGGAGUACGGCCGCAAGGCUGAAACUUAAAGGAAUUGGCGGGGGAGCACUACAAGGGGUGGAGCGUGCGGUUUAAUUGGAUUCAACGCCGGGAACCUCACCGGGGGCGACGGCAGGAUGAAGGCCAGGCUGAAGGUCUUGCCGGACACGCCGAGAGGAGGUGCAUGGCCGCCGUCAGCUCGUACCGUGAGGCGUCCACUUAAGUGUGGUAACGAGCGAGACCCGCGCCCCCAGUUGCCAGUCCUCCCCGCUGGGGAGGAGGCACUCUGGGGGGACCGCCGGCGAUAAGCCGGAGGAAGGAGCGGGCGACGGUAGGUCAGUAUGCCCCGAAACCCCCGGGCUACACGCGCGCUACAAUGGGCGGGACAAUGGGAUCCGACCCCGAAAGGGGAAGGGAAUCCCCUAAACCCGCCCCCAGUUCGGAUCGCGGGCUGCAACUCGCCCGCGUGAAGCUGGAAUCCCUAGUACCCGCGUGUCAUCAUCGCGCGGCGAAUACGUCCCUGCUCCUUGCACACACCGCCCGUCACUCCACCCGAGCGGGGUCUGGGUGAGGCCUGGUCUCCCUUCGGGGAGGCCGGGUCGAGCCUGGG